UCGCCCGCCCCGCCCCGCCCUGCUCGCCCGCCCCGCCCUGCCGUCCCGCCUCGCCCAUCCCGCUCGCAGUGGCAGCCGAUGCCCCGCGGCCUCGCCAGCCCCGUCCCGUCCGUCCCGCUCGCCGUGGCCGAUGCCGCGCCGCGCCACCCCGCCCGUCCCGCUCGCCGUGGACGAUGCCCCGCCGCCCCGCCCCGCCCGUCCCGCUCGCCGUGGCCGAUGACCGCACCACCAGGGACCGCGGCCACACGACGAGGAGGCCUAGACCCUGGCGCAGACCCAAGCUCCCGAGCGGCAACAGCGGGCAGAUCCCUCCUCAUCGCGGAGCCCCUCCUGCCGGCGCCACGCCGCGCUGCGAUGCUGCUCGCCGCUGCUCUGAUCUGACCGGGUAGGCCGGGUAGGCUCCUCGUCGGCGUCGGCUUCCCCUGCCUGCCACUCCUCUCCUCUGAUGGAGUUGACCUUUGCUGGAGCGGACAAGUUUGGAUGCCCCUGCACCUUUGGUGGUGGGCUAGCGGCCCCUCCUCUUCUCCACGAGCAAGCAUUGUCGGCCAUCGCCCCGUCUCUUCUACUCUCCGGUCGCCGUGGAGCGGAGCCCUUGAAGCAUUCGAAUGGAGCACAUAUAGGCAUUCUCCCUCUCCCUUUUGUGGGUUUACCUAUUCAUCCGCUCAAGAUCUAUUCGAUUAAAUAUGUUGAUCUGUUCAUCCUCUCGGCUCAGGAAGCAACUCAUUUUGGAUGAGAACAAUAUAUAAUUUUGUGACUUUGUCAGGUGUCAGGUUGUCCUUUCUGCUUCUAUCUGAUUGUGUAUAGGUAGUUGGCUGUGUUUUGGGUACUGAUAUGGUUUAGUUAAGGCCAUAUUUUUGGUUAAUGCCAGAUCUAAUUGGAGGUUUAGUUCAGUUAAAAAGAUGAUGCCAUGUGACAUUCAGUAUUUAUGUCCAUAUUUCAGAUCAUAUGCAAAUAAACUAUUUAAAUGGACACUGCAGUUCACACUCUCUCCCUGAUGUUAACUCUAUUCUGUUGGAUAAAAGUAACAGAGGCAGCAUGUAUGUUGCAUUGAGUUACUUUUUUUAUUUAUAAAAUGAAUUAUUUAUGUUUUCUCUAGUAAGUUUUAUGUUGUAAAUAUUGUGGAAAGAGUACAUAAAAAUGAGCCAUGAAUCAAUAGGUAUGCACACUCUGUGGUACAAUAAAAACAAUUCUUUUACGUCAAUCCUGAGAAAUAUAGUGCCUUUCCUCCUCAAUGCUUAGUAGAUCUAUGUUAUGCUUUAAUGUAAUCUCAAGCCAGAACGAAUUUCCUUGACUCGGCUUUAUUUUCCCUCGGUUCGCCUGCAGUUGAGGUACACCUGGCUGUCCAACUAAUGGAUCAAUUUUUACUUUUGACUUGCAGUAUGCAUAUGAUUGGAUAUGCGCUUUCAGCUUUCGUGUCAUCGAUGGUUUCAGAUUCCUCCAUCCUUACUACACUACCUAUAGUUUCUUUGGAGUAAUGGGAAAUGAUGAGCUCCUACUUUUUAUGCCAGCUCUAUGACGUGGUGCUCUUAAGGCUCCUUGGCCGCUUCGGUGCCCGUGGCAUCCGUGCUCGUCGGUGGGACAGUGCAAGGCGUAACUCCGACGACGGCAUGGAUGUGCGGUGUAGGAAGUAGUUCCUCGUCGGCUGGAUGGCGUUCAGGCGCAACCCCGAUGCCCACUGAGUACUGCCUCGGCUACAACCUCCCUCAGUGAGCUCCAUCUUCUUAUGGGCUAUGGCCAUGACUAUAUUGAUGUGGGGCUCGUUUGGUUGAUGCUCUAUGCCCUACUCAUCCAUCGGUUCCUACUUGAGCUAUGUAGUUGUGGAUCCAUGCCAUUUUAGAGUUUGCAGGCUGUUGUUCAUGUUUAGUUGCUAUCAUGGGAGCUCAUGUGAUGCUCUGGUUUACAUGUGGAUGCCCUGGUCCUAUAGCUAUGCUCCUGGAUUUGCUAGACUGAUCAGUGGCGUUCGUGCUAGGGCGAUGAUGAUUAAUCGUGGCUGAAAUAAGUGUGCCUUUGAGCAAUCAUGGCACCUGUGCGUAUCAGGUUGGAUCCUCCCUCUUGUCUCUAGAAUCCUUUUUGAUCCUGUGAUGCUUGUUGUUGUCCUUGGAUGGUCAUUCUUGUUGAGUGAUAACCAGGGCAGCUCCACUGUAUAAACAUAUUGAUCUGGUGAUAAGAGAUGACGGAGGUAGGUUAUGUGAUCGAGGAAAGUCGAAUCUGAGCCCACAAUGCA